rnacentral:rRNA from 1 species
CCUACGGGUGGCAGCAGUGAGGACUAUUGGUCAAUGGGCGCGAGCCUGAACCAGCCAAGUCGCGUGAAGGAUGACUGCCCUAUGGGUUGUAAACUUCUUUUAUAAAGGAAUAAAGUGAGGCACGUGUGCCUUUUUGUAUGUACUCUAUGAAUAAGGAUCGGCUAACUCCGUGCCAGCAGCCGCGGUAAUACGGAGGAUCCGAGCGUUAUCCGGAUUUAUUGGGAUUAAAGGGAGAGUAAAUGGGUUGAUAAGUCAGUUGUGAAAGUUUGCGGCUCAACCGUGAAAUUGCAAUUGAUACUGGCAGUAUUGAGUGCACAUGAGGUAGGCGGAAUUCGUGGUGUAGCGGUGGAAUGCU